rnacentral:rRNA from 1 species
GAACGCUGGCGGCAGGCCUAACACAUGGCAAGGUCGAGCGGUAGAGAGGUGCUUGCAUCUCUUGAGAGCGGCGGACGGGUGAGUAAUGCCUAGGAAUCUGCCUAGUGGUGGGGGAUAACGUUCGGAAACGGACGCUAAUACCGCAUACGUCCUACGGGAGAAAGCGGGGGAUCUUCGGACCUCGCGCCAUUAGAUGAGCCUAGGUCGGAUUAGCUAGUUGGUGAGGUAAUGGCUCACCAAGGCGACGAUCCGUAACUGGUCUGAGAGGAUGAUCAGUCACACUGGAACUGAGACACGGUCCAGACUCCUACGGGAGGCAGCAGUGGGGAAUAUUGGACAAUGGGCGAAAGCCUGAUCCAGCCAUGCCGCGUGUGUGAAGAAGGUCUUCGGAUUGUAAAGCACUUUAAGUUGGGAGGAAGGGUAGUAACCUAAUACGUUGCUACUUUGACGUUACCGACAGAAUAAGCACCGGCUAACUUCGUG